rnacentral:rRNA from 1 species
UACGAAGGGGGCUAGCGUUGCUCGGAAUCACUGGGCGUAAAGGGUGCGUAGGCGGGUUUUUAAGUCAGGGGUGAAAUCCUGGAGCUCAACUCCAGAACUGCCUUUGAUACUGAAGAUCUUGAGUCCGGGAGAGGUGAGUGGAACUGCGAGUGUAGAGGUGAAAAUUCGUAGAUAUUCGCAAGAACACCAGUGGCGAAGGCGGCUCACUGGCCCGGUACUGACGCUGAGGCACGAAAGCGUGGGGGAGCAAACAGG